UACGUAGGGAGCAAGCGUUGUUCGGAUUUACUGGGCGUAAAGGGCGCGUAGGCGGCGCGACAAGUCACUUGUGAAAUCUCCGGGCUUAACUCGGAACGGUCAAGUGAAACUGUCAUGCUAGAGUGCAGAAGGGGCAAUCGGAAUUCUUGGUGUAGCGGUGAAAUGCGUAGAUAUCAAGAGGAACACCUGAGGUGAAGACGGGUUGCUGGGCUGACACUGACGCUGAGGCGCGAAAGCGUGGGGAGCAAACAGG
rnacentral:rRNA from 1 species